GCGGAGACAAAUGUUUCCGUUCACUCCUCACACCACACCCCGCUCGGACCUAGUCCGGGCGUU
rnacentral:sRNA from 1 species